UUUCCUUCCUCUUCUUCAAAAUGUUUCUCCAGCUCCAUGAACAAUCAUUUGGAAUCGGAAUAUGCCAGAAGUUUCUUCCGCAUAUCAGCUUUGGCUUUGGCCCAUUUCACCCAUAAGUUAUCCUUUUCACUGAUUAUAUGCCAUACAAGUCUCAUAUUGGUUACAUGAUUUACUGCAUACAAGUCCCAGUCCUCCUUCGUAGUAAGGGAAACAUACAUCAGCCCAACCAAUGAGUGUAUGAACAGUAGUGCAAUCAGGACUAGUGUGGCUUCUUUCCUUAAUGAACACAACGUUAACACUUACAAGUUCUUAUCUUUUAGUUGCUCUCAUACUUGUGGAUAGGUUGUGGAGAAGGUGAAUGAUUUCAUAGAAAAUCAGUAAAUUCAAUGACAAUAAUUAUAGUGCCAACAGAGUGAGGACAGGCAUUAAAAAGUGAUCAGAUGUGCAGGGGUUCUAUCAAAGGGCACCAAUUGCAUGUCUGAUGGCACUGUAACGAACAAUCUCAAUCUACCAUUGAACCUCCCAAAGACACCAACAGUUAGAGUUUGUAGAUGGCGCCCCCCAAGGGCCAAGGGAGCCAUUUCUUAAAAUGAAUACUGAUGGAGCAGCGCGAGGGAAACCCAGGUGAAGCAGGCAUCGACAUUGUAUUCAGGAAUUGUAAUGGUGAAGUCUUAAGUUGUGUGAGUCAUGGCUUGGAACCAACCACUGCAUUCUUGGCAGAGUGUUGGGUUAUACCGCUAUAGUGAUAGGUAUGGAAUGGGCAGUGCAGCAUGGCUGGGCGCAUCUCUGGAUUGAAUUGAUUCCACUGCUGCAAUCCAAGCUUUUGGAAAUAGAACUGUGCCCUGGAUCAUGGAGCAGAGAUGGCACAAUGCACUAAAUUCUCUCCACCAUGUGCUUAUCUCCUCUACAUGGAGGAAAGUCAAUUUUACUGCUGACUGCCUAGCCAAUCCUGGUGCAGACCAAGGUCCUAACUUUAGAGGAACUUUGUAGGUUGGCCUCCAUUUAUUCGUGUGGCGGAGGACCCUCAUAGUACUUACUUCAGGUUCAAGGACAAUUAAUCUUGUCUUUGGGCUCAUAUUUUUUUUAAUUUUCUUUUCUGGCUUUUAUAUACAAGU
rnacentral:lncRNA from 1 species